rnacentral:rRNA from 1 species
UACGAAGGGUGCAAGCGUUACUCAGAAUUACUGGGCGUAAAGCGUGCGCAGGCGGUUUUGUAAGCCAGAUGUGAAAUCCCCGGGCUUAACCUGGGAAUGGCAUUUGGGACUGCAAGGCUUGAGUGCGGCAGAGGAGACUGGAAUUCCUGGUGUAGCAGUGAAAUGCGUAGAUAUCGGGAGGAACACCAGUGGCGAAGGCGGUUGCCUGGGGCUUUGCUGACGCUGAUGCGCGAAAGCGUGGGGAGCGAUCCGG